rnacentral:ribozyme from 18 species
GUUUUUUUUUUCGUUUUCCUACUUUUUUUUUCUUCAAAUUUCACACUUCCGUUUUAAACAGGAAAAAAC